UUGAUGGGAAGGCUCAAAAGUAUGACACAAGUCUAGGUAGGCACCCAGGAGUUCCCGUGGGUAGAAAUAUGGGCGAUUCUGGAAGGUCCAAGAAUCAGAGACUCCCCCUGCACCUCACAAAGGGCCAAGCUGGAAUAGGUGAGUCCGGUCAAUUUUAGCUAUUGUGCCAUUCUGUGUAAGGUCCUGAUUCCAGAGAGGAAGCUCGUCGGCCUAGCUUACGUCAAGGGAAGCUGGAUUGGUCCCCACGAAGUCAUAAGAGAGAAGACACUAUUAGUUAUCAGCGUUUUCAGCACUAAGGCCAGUGUUUGAAACAAAGUAGACACUCCGUGAAUAGCUGUGAAAGGAACCAAUGAAAGAAUGACAGAAUAUUCCCAGCCUCAGAGCAUCUGGAAAAAAAAAAUGGUCCUUAAGCCCCAAGCUAGUGGGGAAGAGGUGAUUUUUCCAGAAGGAAAUCAGGGUGAUAAUGUCAAGAGAGAACGGAAUAGUGCUGGGCUCCCAACAGAGAGGGAAAGGCAGACAGAUGCUUUUGAUUUUCCAGCAAGGUUUAUAUAACAAACAUGGAAAACUUCAAAUCUCUCUCAGUGUUUCACACUUCAACAUAGGAACGAGGAAUCCGUCCAAAGGCAGCCAAAUCCAUUCUCGUUUUCCUGCAUACGCAAGGUAGCCAGAUUUGGGUGGCUGUUGACCGGUGACCUGAAGGGCUGCGUCCCCACGACUCUGGUUCUGAUGAGGAAGGCCAUCUUCUGGUGCCAAGCCCUGCCCCGAGCGAGUUCCCUGAGGUGCAGGCACACCUCCUCCAAGAACAUGCCAUAUGCACAAGAGGCUGUUCCAAGGAGAAGCAAAUUUGCACUUCCCACUCAAAAGGGGAACGGGGAGGAGGGGUGUGAGGAGCCCCCAGAUUUUCUGCUCUUCCUCUGAGGUACUUUAGGAAGGAACACAUGACUCAUUUCAAAGGAUCAAGGGAAGAACACCACCUGGGAAGUGGGAAACGGUCAAGCAGGCUCAGACAGGAAGCGGCUGUAGUGGUGAUGAUGAAACAAUGUAUCUUUCUUCAGUUGAUCUGACUGAUGCUUGCUCUUAUGGCCCAACCCACCCGUCUGGCCAGCCGGUCUUAUACAAUUUAGCUUUCGGUUAGAAGUUGUCCUGUGAGGGCUUCAGAAGGCUUAAUGUGUGCGCCUCCUUCAGGCCGCCGGACCAGAGGCUCCGAGAAGCCUUCGGAACAUUCCUUUCAACAAGAGUGGGCUUGCUCUCCAGCCCCUGUUUUAGCUGUUCAGCUACCCGUGGUCAACCACAGCCCCGGAGGUGGAUGACUCUCCUUUGAGGUACCGUCAGAAGGUCAAUAGUAGCCUAACGCCAUGCCUACGUCACUCACCUCGCUUCGUCUCAGCACGGGGGCAUUUUCUCAUCUCCCGUCCCCACAAGAAGAAGGCUUCUGCGGCUCAGGAGUCUGAGUGUGGCUUAAUUGGGUCUUCUGGCUGACGGUCUCUCACAAAGCCACCGUCACGGUGUGGCAAGGGUUGUGCCCCAAAGCUCGGGUCCGAGGGGAUCAUCUUCCAAGCUCACUCACACCAUCGUCGGCAGGAUAUGUUCCUCGUUGGCUGUUGAACUAAGAUUGCCCUUAGUUUCUGCCCCAUGAGGCUCUCCACAGGGCAGCCACAACAUGGCAACUUGCUUCCUUGGAGCAAGUAGGAGAAAAGAGCCAGACAGGGAAAGUGUGAGCAAGACAGAAGUUUCAGUGUUUCGCAACCUAAUCUUGGGAGUGCCUGUGCUGCAUACAUCCUGUAUAAUUCCCGGACCGUGGAUCGGAUGGAAUGUCACUCCCAAGCCUGCGUUAUGUGAUAUGGGCCGAAAGGUGUUUGCAAAUGUAAUUAAGGUUUCAAAUUAGUGGGCCUAAAAAUAGAGAGGUUAUCAUGUGGAACUGACCUGACCACACAAGUCCUUGGGAAGCUGCCACGUAUAUAUUUAACGAGCCUGGGUCUUGGGAUGAGAGACGAAGCAAGUUAGAGACUCAAAGCACAAGAAGGAUGCGACAUGCUGUCGCUGAUUUGAAAAUGGAAGGGGCCAUGUGGUAAGGAAUGCAGGUGGUCCCUGGCAGCCAAAAGCAGCAUGCAGAUGCCAGCCCGCAACAGAACAGGAGCCUCGAUUCUACGGCCACAGCUGAAUUCUGCCAACAGCAAGAAUGAACGUGGAAGUGGAUUUUCUCCAAAGUCUGUGGGCAAGGACUCAGCCUGACCAACACCCUGACUUCAGAUCUGUGACAUCUAGAGCAGAAAACCCGGCUAGCCUACACCCAGACUCUUGACUCCCGGAAAUAGUAAGAUAACGCUCUUACGUCAUUAUAGGCUACGCGUGUAGUCAUUCGUGAUGCCGUGUCGUAAACUGAAUUGUGUCUCCCUCCAUCCCCAAAUUCACAUGUUGAAGCCCUACCCCCUAAUGUGACUGUAUGUGGAACUGGGGCCAAAAUGCAGGAAAUCAAGGUUAAAUGAGGUCUUAAGUGUGGGGUCCUGCUCUGAUAGAAAUAGUGUCCUUAAAAGAGGAGACACGGCAGCUCCCUUGCUCUCUCUGGGUGCACUCACCGAGGAAAGGCCAUGUGAGGCCACAGCCAGGAGAUGCCUGUCUGCGACCCGGGAAGAGAGUUCUUGCCCCAAACCAAAUUGGCUGGAGCCUUGAUCUUGGACUUUUGGGUUCCAGACUGAGAAAACAACUUCUGGUUGUUGAAGCCACUCAUCUAUGGUAUAUUGUUAUGCGGCCAGAACACAUGCAGUGAUAGAAAACUGAUAAAGUGGCAUCCCAUCACAUCUGCCGUAUCCCAUUCAUUAGAACUAGGUCACCAAGAGCACUCGGCUGGCUCAGUCGGUUGAAGUCCAACUAGAUUUCGGUUCAGGUCGUGAUCUCACGGUUCAUGAGUUUGAGCCCCACACUGGGCUCCCCCAUUCUCCCCCACUCUCUCUCCCCCUCCCCCACUCUCGCUCUCUCUCAAAAUAAAUAAAUAAACAUUAAAAAAAGAGUAAGUCACCAGCUCCAGCCCGCACUCGAGGGGAAAGGUAACCUAAGGGCAUGACCCAAGGAGAUGGGGGUCACCGGGGCCAUCCCAGAAGUCUGUCUAUCCCCGAUGCAUUUAACCAAAAUGUCAUUUAGCACAUAUGCAUGGCAAACAUUAGGCGGACCAUUCACAGACCCGGAAAAUCUGGAGAUCAUUCCAGCUUUCAAAACCAUCCGCUCCUCACGCAACUGUGGCAUUACUCUAUUCCCCCGAGCGGCCAUGGGAAGCUUUGGGGCGGCUUGCAUCUUCGUUCAGCUGGGUGACAAUGUGGCACAGGGGUGCCACGUUCGGGUUCAGGUCCUAACUCUGCCCUUUCUAGGUGUGUGUUCUUGAGCGGAUUGCUUAUCUAUCCUGAGCCUUUGUUUUC